GAUGAACGCUGGCGGCGUGCUUAACACAUGCAAGUCGAGCGAAGCGGUUUAAGUGAAGUUUUCGGAUGGAUCUUGAAUUGACUGAGCGGCGACGGGUGAGUACGCGUGGAUAACCUGCCUCACACAGGGGGAUAACAGUUAGAAAUGACUGCUAAUACCGCAUAAGCGCACAGUACCGCAUGGUACAGUGUGAAAAACUCCGGUGGUAUAAGAUGGACCCGCGUCUGAUUAGCUUGUUGGCGGGGUAACGGCCCACCAAGGCGACGAUCAGUAGCCGGCCUGAGAGGGUGAACGGCCACAUUGGGACUGAGACACGGCCCAA
rnacentral:rRNA from 1 species